GUUUUAUCUAACAAUAAUUCAAAAUCAAAAUAGUCCUCAUUUCACACAAACUCUAAUUGUAUACUUAAAUUAGGUUAUACUCUCUUUUCUCCAGCUAUCUCUUCUUUCUAAAGUUUGAAUUCAUUCUUUUCUACUAGAUGAACUUCCACAAAUUUAUGAGAAACCUGGCUCCAGGUUUCUAUAAUCACAACAGAGUAAAGCCUCUAUGCUUUACUGACUACUUCAAUAUCAAGGAUCCCAGGGAAGAAUUCUGAUUGAUUUUAUUUGGGUCACAACUUGUCUCUUCAUCCAUCGCUAUAGUCAGAGGUAGAGGCUUUAUGAUUUAACCAGAUUUUUUAAAGGUAUAAUCAUUGUGUAGCAGAAAGAGAGUAGAUUAACUAUUAGCCAGCCCCAACAUUCAUUAAUAUAAGAGAGGAAAACAUUGGAAGAAUGCCCAGAGGAGCAUUUUGAACAUGUUAAAAAUAGUUCCCAAAACCCUCACUACACAGUAAUGUAGAAUUUUCAUUAUCAAUUUGUGUGCUGAAUAUGAAAGUAUAUGUAGAAUUUUAUGUUUUCAUUGAAAUAAAUUAAAGAUAUAAUUUGUAUUUUUUUAUCUUUUGUAAAACUAUUCAGAAAAGGUGACAGCAUAUAAUAAUGAAAUUUACUUUCUUACCUGGAGAAAACAAGAUAUUUUAAUGACAAUGCUAACAACAACUUUUUUAGUAUAUUAAUAAAAGUGAGAGAAUGGUAGUAAAAUACAAACAGAUACACACAAACAUAUAUGUAAUGUUGUCACUGGAUAAAGUUUUAGGGCACACAGAAUUAACUAAUAUUAAGCUGUAUUUCAAAUAUGUUCAUGGAAAACUCAAAUUUUCCAAAAUUUUAGAAAGUUCAAACCUAAGUUAAAACACAUCAUUCGGAACAUAAAAUUGUUUUAUGAUUGCAGCAAAAGUGGUAGUACAUCGUCUCCGCCGAUGUUCAGACUGGAUGUCAACUGAACACUCUUUAUGUGUAAAGAAACGUAAUGGAUCAGUCUCUGUUUUCUCUAUUAAAGAUAAUAAACACUGCCUGGAAUCUCAGUGGUUGAAAAACAAGGACCUGUUUCUUACCCCUGCUUCAUGAACAUCUUGAGUCACAUGUGGACACUACUUACCUCAAGUUAGAGGGGAAGAAAAAAUGCCUCCACUUUGUGAAAAAAAAAUCUGCAGAUAGAUCAUCC
rnacentral:lncRNA from 10 species